rnacentral:rRNA from 1 species
AGUGAACGCUGGCGGUAGGCCUAACACAUGCAAGUCGAACGGCAGCACAGUAAGAGCUUGCUCUUACGGGUGGCGAGUGGCGGACGGGUGAGGAAUACAUCGGAAUCUACUUUUUCGUGGGGGAUAACGUAGGGAAACUUACGCUAAUACCGCAUACGACCUACGGGUGAAAGCAGGGGAUCUUCGGACCUUGCGCGAUUGAAUGAGCCGAUGUCGGAUUAGCUAGUUGGCGGGGUAAAGGCCCACCAAGGCGACGAUCCGUAGCUGGUCUGAGAGGAUGAUAAGCCACACUGGAACUGAGACACGGUCCAGACUCCUACGGGAGGCAGCAGUGGGGAAUAUUGGACAAUGGGCGCAAGCCUGAUCCAGCCAUACCGCGUGGGUGAAGAAGGCCUUCGGGUUGUAAAGCCCUUUUGUUGGGAAAGAAAAGCAGCAGGUUAAUACCCAGCUGUUCUGACGGUACCCAAAGAAUAAGCACCGGCUAACUUCGUG